rnacentral:tRNA from 1 species
ACCUGGGUGGCUCAGUCGGUUAAGCAUCUGACUGCGGCUCAGGUCAUGAUCUCACGGUUGGUGGGUUCAAGCCCUGCCUUGGGCU